UACGGAGGGUGCGAGCGUUGUUCGGAAUUAUUGGGCGUAAAGCGCGUGUAGGCGGCUCCUUAAGUCUGAUGUGAAAGCCCUGGGCUCAACCUGGGAAGUGCAUUGGAAACUGGGGAACUUGAAUACGGGAGAGGGUAGUGGAAUUCCUGGUGUAGGAGUGAAAUCCGUAGAUAUCAGGAGGAACACCGGUGGCGAAGGCGGCUACCUGGACCGAUAUUGACGCUGAGACGCGAAAGCGUGGGGAGCAAACAGG
rnacentral:rRNA from 1 species